ACCAAUGAAUAAGAUGUCUUUCCUGCCCUCCAGGAGCCCACAGUCCACCAGUUAUGCAUAAAAUCAGUAGGGGACUUGUAGCUUAUAAAUCACAUUUGCUUACAUUCUCUCCUUUAGAUCCGGAUGUAACCCUUUGAGUUAAAAAGUAGAGCCGUGAUUCUCCUACUGGACCCAAGAAGUUCUCAGUGUCACAAGGAUGGCAGAAGCCAGGGACGGUGCCAAAUCCUCCUUUUCGACUUCCAGUUUCUCUGCUUCCAAGAGACGUGAAUUGGCAAUUGUAAAAUGAAGAUGUGCUCGUUCCCCACUCCAGAUGAUGCCCCGCGGACCUGUAGCCUUGCUCCCCACUCCUGGUCUACACCCCAUCUUCUGGGUUGGAAGGCGCGGGAGCCCCGGACUCGCACAUCUAUUUGUUAGAAAUGAAAGAACGACUUUAUUCCAGGGAAGGAAUGAGUGUUCCCCAGAUGAAGAUGUAAAGGGCUUGCCCAGACCUGUGCUCAGAGGGACCUUGCUCCCACAGUGACCAGAGCACCUGGAAGGGCAGGUGACAGAGGGAUCCCAGCAAAGCCCAGAGAGCACUGGCGAAAACAGCUGACGGCGCCCUGCCAGCCCUGCCUGCGCCCCGGAUGCCAAAUGCAGACGACAGCCUGAAAACAAUUUGUCCGGCCUAUCUGCUUUUUGACCUCACCAUCUACCAGCAUGAGCAGUCUGAAAUGAAGGGACAGUCCUUGGAGCUUCAGACUGUGUGGAACCCUUACUGUUCCCUGUCUUGGAACCAGAAACUCUGACGCCAAAGAACCUGGAUUUGGAGGGACUCAAAGCACAGAUUCUGCAAGUUGGAGUGAUAGUGAGAGGGACCACAGUGACAUCUACUUCUUGGUUCCUGAGCUUGUAUAUUCUAGCCACUAAGGACACAGAACUAUGGAUCGGCUACAGGCUCAGCAUGUGCUGUUCUACAGCACAGCACUCCAACCUCAGAGGGUGCUGCCUCUAAGCUAGGGUUUUAGGUGGGCUCCGUUGUUUUGGCUUCCUGCUUCGAUAUGGUAUGUGUAGUAUCAGUGGGUCAGAGAGCCAAGAGUCCAUUCUCAUAUCUUCAUCGUCAUAAAAUAUGUCCCUUGGUCUGACUAUGUUACGUGGGAUCCCGUGUCAGUGAACCUGCAUUUCUCCAGCCUUCAGAGAGUGAUGCUGGCAGAGGUGCUUCAGAUAAUAAAGACAAACCCAUAUCUAGAGUAGGUGUCAAUUCCAGAAAGGACAAAGCACUUCUCCUUUCAGGGGAGAAGGGGUCCAAUGUAAUCCAUCUGCCACAAGAGGUCAAUUUGUCUUCUCAACAUGUGGCAUCACAUUGAGAUCUCAGCAAUGAUUUCUGCUCCUGACAUUCAGUAAUAGCAACAGCUAGAUCAGCCUUGGUGACGAGGAGCUCAUGCAGUUGGGCCCAGGCACAGCCUCCAUCCCUGUGGCAUUGGAGAAGCCCCAGAACAGAAAGCAGAAGAUGUGCAGAGAAUGAUGUCAGCAUAACAGCUGUCUACUGCAGCUAGAGCUGACAUCACUAGUGAAGUGAGGGGAUAUGACACAGAAGUAUCGGAUCCAGUGGACUCCUUUAAGAUAAAGAAAUGAAAACAUGUCUUCUGGCAAUUAAAAAUCAAAGUCGCCACUUGAACACAUUGCUAGACGCUGGAAAGUUUUCCAAGAGUGAAAGAUGCUGAUGAUGAUGCUGGGAUGGGCACAGGGUACGGUUGGAGGAGGGCUUCCCAUCCUGGUUCAGGUGCUUGUUAAGCAUCAAGGAUCCCAUCUGGAAAAGCCUUUGGAAGAAGCUGUGGGAACCUGGCAAAAUGCCAGUCUUGCUUGUUGCUCUGGAGGUUGCUAGUGCUUUCCUGGCUUAGCAUCAGAGACUAUCAGAGGUAGGUGGGACUGUAGGGACAGCCCAGGCUAAUCCCUAUUCUACAGAUGAGGAUCCUGAGGCCUGGCGUUCGCAAGGGCAGCCCAAGGUCAUUCAGACAGUUGACAGAGGCAGGUUAGCACACUGUGGCUUAAGGUUAAAGUUGGGGAUCUUAAGGCAAAAUUUCUUGGUAGACUCCACUUAUAUUUUUUAAUUACAGUAUAAGCACACGCUCAGUAAAAGCCUGGCCUGUGUCCUUGCUGCAGCAUAAAGGAGAGGGCCAAGGAACACUUGGGCAGACUUUGUGCUAGUGGUCACUUGACGCCUUCCUCACUUCUCUACCCCAGUGUCCUGAGGGAAUCUAACUAGACGGUGCGUUUGCUGCACAUCUAUUGCUGUGUUCCUCUUAUAAAAAUUGUGUAAGAUAAUUUUUGUUUUUGUUUUCCUUAAGAUGAUGCUUUGGUUGUUUGCAUGCUGGGAAGUCAUAAAACCAUCUUUUCUUCUGCCUUCUCUUUUAAAAUCCUAGAAAGUAACCUAUUUUCCACCUGAGAUAGAUUGAUCUAUCAAUCUGUUUGCCCAUCCAUCUACUCAUCCAUUUCCUUUCCUUCCU